rnacentral:ncRNA from 1 species
UCCUAAAGGUUUGGUCCUGGCCUUCUUAUUAGUUACUAGUAGGCUUAUACAUGCAAGCAUCCGCACUCCAGUGAAAAUGCCCUUCUAAUCACAGUCUGACCAAAAGGAGCAGGUAUCAAGCACACAUUCGUAGCUCACAACACCUUGCAUAGCCACACCCCCACGGGAAACAGCAGUAAUAGAAAUUUAGCAAUUAACGAAAGUUAGACUAAGCCAUACUAUACUUAAGGGUUGGUCAAUUUCGUGCCAGCCACCGCGGUCAUACGAUUAACCCAAAUUAAUAAGCACCGGCGUAAAGCAUGUUUAAGAGACAAAAUCAAACUAAAGCCAAAUUCAAUUCAAGCCGUAAAAAGCCAACAAUUGUAAUAAAAUAAUCAACGAAAGUGGCUUUAUAACAUCUGAACACAUGAUAGCUAAGACACAAACUGGGAUUAGAUACCCCACUAUGCUCAGCCUUAAACCCCAGCAUCUAUUAACGAAGCUGUUCGCCAGAGAACUACCAGCAAAAGCUAAAAACUCAAAGGACUUGGCGGUGCUUCACACCCACCUAGAGGAGCCUGUCCAAUAAUCGAUAAACCCCGAUAAACCUCACCACCAUUUGCCUGCCCAGUCUAUAUACCGCCAUCUUCAGCAAACCCUUAAAAGGAAGUAAAGUAAGCACAACAAUAUCCAUAAAAAAGUUAGGUCAAGGUGUAGCUAAUAUGGUGGACUUAGAUGGGCUACAUUCUUUACACAUAAAGCAAUACGAAUGUUACCAUGAAAUUAGUAACUGAAGGAGGAUUUAGCAGUAAAUUAAGAAUAGAGAGCUUAAUUGAAUCAGGCCAUGAAGCACGCACACACCGCCCGUCACCCUCCUCAAGUACCUAAUUCUACUCAAUACAUAAACACAUAAAAAUUCAAGAGGAGACAAGUCGUAACAAGGUAAGCAUACUGGAAAGUGUGCUUGGAAAAACU